rnacentral:rRNA from 1 species
CAAUCGAACCCGGAGAUAGCUGGUUCUCCCCGAAAUAGCUUUAGGGCUAGCGUCGCAGCGAGAGAGCCGUGAAGGUAGAGCACUGAAUAUGCGAUGGCCGCAUCCCGCGGUACUGAGCAUAAUCAAACUCCGAAUGUCACGGUGUCAUCUGCGGCAGUCAGACGGCGAGUGAUAAGGUCCGUCGUCAAAAGGGAAACAGCCCAGACCAUCAGCUAAGGUCCCAAAGUGCAUGCUAAGUGGAAAAGGAAGUGGAGACGUGCAGACAACUAGGAGGUUGGCUCAGAAGCAGCCAUCCUUCAAAGAGUGCGUAACAGCUCACUAGUCGAAUGACUCUGCGCCGAUAAUUUACCGGGGCUAAGCAUGACACCGAAGCUAUGGACAGGAAUGUGGUAGGGGAGCAUUGCAUGCAGCGGAGAAGCAUGACCGGAAGGGCAUGUGGAGCGCAUGGAAGAGAGAAUGCCGGCGUGAGUAGCGGCACGUGGGUGAGAAUCCCACGCACCGAUGGCCCAAGGUCUCCAGAGGAAGGCUCGUCCUCUCUGGGAUAGUCGGGACCUAAGGCGAGGCCGAAAGGCGUAGCCGAUGGACGACGGGUGGAUAUUCCCGUACCCGAUGUGUGGCGAUGGAGUGACGGAGAAGGCUCAGGCAACCAGCUGCUGGAAUAGCUGGGGCAAGCGAGAUACCUGCGCACCAGGGAAAUCCGGUGCGCAUAAGGGGAAGGCGCGAUGCAUACGGAAAGCUUCGGCAAGUACGGAAAAGCUGAGAGCAGGCUUCCAGGAAAAGCUUCUAGCACAACACACAUCGGCCCGUACCGAAAAUGGACACACAUGGGCAAGGAGAGAAUCCUGAGGUGAGCGAGAGAACUAUAGCUAAGGAACUCUGCAAAAUGACCCCGUAACCUAGGGAGAAGGGGUGCUCCAGAAAUGGAGCCGCAGUAAAACGGCCCAAGCGACUGUUUACCAAAAACACAGCUCUCUGCGAAGGCGCAAGCCGAAGUAUAGGGGGUGACGCCUGCCCGGUGCUGGAAGGUCAAGGGGAGCUGUCAGCGCAAGCGAAGCAGCGAGCCGAAGCCCCAGUAAACGGCGGCCGUAACUAUAACGGUCCUAAGGUAGCGAAAUUCCUUGUCGGGCAAGUUCCGACCCGCACGAAAGGCGUAACGAUUUGGGCGCUGUCUCAGCUGUAGACUCGGUGAAGUCUUAGUACCUGUGAAGAUGCAGGUUGCCCGCGACUAGACGGAAAGACCCCAUGGAGCUUCACUGCAGGUUGACAUUGGGCUUGGAUGCAUGAUGUACAGGAUAGGUGGGAGGCUGUGAGCCGUGCGCGCCAGCGUACGGGGAGCCGCUGUUGGGAUACCACCCUUCAUGCAUCUAGGUCCUAACCGGAGGCAACGGGCCACGGGACAGUGUCAGUCGGGCAGUUUGACUGGGGCGGUCGCCUCCCAAAGAGUAACGGAGGCGCCCAAAGAUACCCUCAGCAUGGAUGGAAACCAUGCAUAGAGUGCAAAGGCAUAAGGGUGUCUGACUGCGAGACAUACAGGUCGAGCAGGGACGAAAGUCGGGCUUAGUGAUCCGGCGGAUCCGAAUGGAAGGGCCGUCGCUCAACGGAUAAAAGCUACCCUGGGGAUAACAGGCUGAUCUCCCCCAAGAGUCCACAUCGACGGGGAGGUUUGGCACCUCGAUGUCGGCUCAUCGCAUCCUGGAGCUGAAGUCGGUUCCAAGGGUUGGGCUGUUCGCCCAUUAAAGCGGUACGCGAGCUGGGUUCAGAACGUCGUGAGACAGUUCGGUCCCUAUCUGUCGUGGGCGCAGGAGGUUUGAGGAGAGCUGCCCCUAGUACGAGAGGACCGGGGUGGACGGACCGAUGGUGCACCAGUUGUCACGCCAGUGGCACAGCUGGGCAGCCAAGUCCGGACGGGAUAAGCGCUGAAGGCAUCUAAGCGUGAAGCCCCCUCCAAGAUGAGACCUCCCAUUGGCGACAAGUAAGGCCCCUCGAAGACGACGAGGUUGAUAGGCCGCGAGUGCAAGCGCAGCGAUGUGCUUAGCGGGGCGGUACUAAUAGGCCGAGGACUUGGCCAA